UGUUCUUCCUUCCUAGGCUGAUUGUGUCUACACACUUCAGUUGUUAACUGAUCCUGCUUUCGGACCCUAUGGAAAUGAAAGUAAAACUGAGAUGAUACUGAAUGGUUACUAGGAAGCAGCCAGCUGACAGCAAGGAGGAGAACAGGGUGUUUCUCUGCUCCUUGUUGGUCAAGAUCACCACUGAUGAUUUGCCAGUUCGAUCCAGGUGUUGCUAAGAAAUAAUAUUUAAAAAUAUAACGACUGCUUUUUAUAUCUGUGCUUAGCAAGGUAAAUGCAACACUGCCUUUCUGAAAAGAUUUUGAAACCUUCCUCAACUCAACUGAAAUGCUCUGCACCUGGAACUACUCUUAAAAUAUAUUCUAACUCAGACUGAUGCAGAAUGCAGCAAAUUAUUUGGCAAAGAAUAUAGUGCAUUGGAGAGCAACAGCAAUGUCUUUCCCUGUACCAGGAAGCAUCAUAAGAUCCCCUGAAGGUAGCAGAGCACUGAUGCUCCUUGCAUGUUCUUCAAAGUGCUAUAAAUGGGAUUUAGCCCUGCAACUCAGAAGUGGAGCCUAGUCACUGCCUUGGAACAUCUUACCAUCAUUAAUCCAUGUGGAGAUGUGACCAGUCAUUGGUGGACGAGAGCUCCCUAUCAUUUUCCAGAAUUCAAUGUCCUGGAUAAGCUGAAAACAACAACAUCAAAUGGAAAUAAGUGAAUACAGCCAUGAUCCAAGGGAAAAGAAGAAACGUGAAACAUAGAAGCUAUAUGUUUUUAAGAUGAAAGGGGAAGAACUGACAGAAAAAGAGGAUAGACUAGAAUUGAUUAAUUACUUUCUUGAAAAAAUGGGAGAGGAAGUAAGAACUAAGUAAAAUUAGCAUUAGAAGAAAAUAAGCUGGUGAAUUUAGUGAAGACUGAUGGAACACAUUUAAUUGAUGAAAAAAGAGUCCUCCUCCUCAAACUUCAAAUUCGAGUAUUUGAACUGUCCAAAUUUGGUUUGUGGUUGAGAUGAAGGGGAAGUUGGGAAGAAAAUGAACUAGGAUUUUGAAGAGGAAAACUGGCCCACUUGAGGGGUCAUCUUAAGUCUACCCUCAAACGUAACAAUGCAGAAGAUGGCUCAUACAAAGCUUGAACUGUGAAACUCAUGUUUCAAUUUGAAACAGCUCAUGAGAAAACAGUGUGAAUUAUCUGCAAGCUAUUGUUUCAUGCUAUUCUGCUUUUCGAUUAUUUUUAUUUAUGGAAACAUGCAGAUGGAUGAAAUAACAUAUUUUGUUUACAGAAGUUGAUUUUGGAUGCAUGGCCUAGUAGAAGCUAUAUAAAGUCAAACGUCUUGAAGGAUCACUACUUUCAGCUUGGCAAAAUGUGAAGCAAAUAAGUAUUAUGCUGUUAAAUAUUGCCAUUAAGCAGGAAAUACAUAUGCAACUAGAUCACCUAAAUUUAUGUGCCAAUUACAAGCCGUGUUUACAUGCUUAGUUGUCUUUCCUCAAAGGCUUACCCACCUUUUUUUAUGCUUCCAAUUACACAGACAAUUGCUAUUAUUAGGCAAGCAGUAAAAAUGUAUCAGUUAAAAAAAUUGUGUCAAACUUAGAAGACAGAAGAACUGUUGAGAAGCAGUAGACUUUUCACCUCCAAUCUCAAAAAAAGAGCAUCUGAAGGUUUGGUAGAGUAAAUAUCCUCUUCUAUUUCAUAUGUUUGUUGUGAAAUUUGUUUCAUUUAUUUCAAUUAGGAAAAAAAAAAAAAAAGAUAUCUUACUCCAUUGAAACUCAUAGGAACUUCACAGCUUGCUCCCUGACUCUCCAGCAGCAAAGCAGGACCUUCAACAACAUUUUGCUAGACAAGACUCUGUGUAAUAAAUGUGUCAGGUUUUUUUGUGUUAGCUUUUGUUGAUCUUUAUGCUAUAAUAAGUCCCUGAGGCUUGCUGUGAUUCACCUCAGAAUACUAAAGGAGUUAGUGGCUGUUAGAGCUGUACCUCUCUCAACAAUUUACCAAAGUUCUUGGGAGUCAGGAGAUGUCCUUGCUGACUGAGAGGUAGCCAACGUUAUACCCAGCUACCAAAAGGACAAGAGGGAAAAUACUGAUAGUCUACUCUCCACCCCUGAAAAAGUUAUGAAGAGGGUUAUCCUGGGUGCUACUGAAAGUCAGUUAAAGAACAAAGCUAUAGUCAAGCAUAGUCAAUAUCGGUUCAUGAAGGGGAAUUCCAACCUUAGUAAUUAAAACUUCUAUGAUAAGGUCACCCACUUGGUGAAAGAAGGGAAGAUGGUGGAUGUAACCUUUCUAGAUUUUAUUUAAGCCUUUGAUACUAUCUCUCACAGCAUCCUUCCAGACCAAUCAUCCAGCUGUGAGAUAAACAGGUCGACAAUACACCGAGUGAUGAACUAGCAGAACUCAAAGGGCUGUGGUGAAUGGGACUGGUGGCUGGUGGCUGGUGACUAGUGGUUCUCCCCCGGGGCUUAUUUCUAGGGCCAGUCCCAUUCAAUAUUUUUAUCAGUGAUCUUGAUGCAGGAGUGGAGUGCAUUCUCAGCAAGUUUUCUUGUGCCACUAAACAGGAAGGUGCUGCUGACUCCUUGAGGGAUGAGGGGGCUUGAAGAGGAAUCUAGACAGACUGGAAUACUGGAAAAUCACCAAUGGCAUGAAGUUCAACAAAAGUAAAAUGCUGGAUUCUCAGAUGGAGCAAAGCCAUUCACAGGUACAAUCUAGGAGAUGAGUAGCUGGAGAGCAGUUCAGCAGAAAGGGCUCAGCAUGAACCUGCAGUAUGCUUUGGGAUCCAGGAGGGUAAACUGCAUUUUAGAGUGCAUUGCUUAGGUGAAAUCUCUCCUUGAAUACUGUGUGCAGUUCUGGGGUACAUACUAUAAAAAGGAUGUUAAGGUCCUUGAAAUGAUCUAGAGGAGUGCAACAAAGCUAGUAAAAGGGCUGGAGGGCAUGUGCUGUGACAAGAGGCUGAGGUCCGGAGAAAACACAAUUUUCUAGUCUGGAGAACAGAAAGCUGAGAGGAGACCUCAUUACUUUUUACAAAUUCCUGAGGAGGUGGAGUGGAAGGUACUAGUCUGUGCACUCUGGUAAGCGAUGAUAGGAUGCACAGGAAAGGCAAGAAAUUGCCCCAUGGGAGGUUCAGACUGGAUAUGAUGAAAAAUUUCUCUACUGGGAGGGUGGUCAAGCACUGAAGCAGGCUCCCUGUAGAGGUGGUUGAUGCUCUAUGCCUGUCAGUAUUCGAGAGGGAUUUGGAUAAUAUCUUCAAUAACAUGCUUUAGUUUUCAGUUAGCCCUGAAUUUGUCAAGCAGUUGGACUUGAUGCUUGAUAACCUUUGUAGAUCCUUUCCAACUGAACCAUUCUAUUCUAGUUCUGUUCUGCCAUUUAUAAUGAUAAAAAUAUAUGCUAAUCAGCAAAAGUUUGGCAACAUGGUACAUCUUAUAAUAUUUUAUGUUAGAUGCUAUUACUUUAAUUUCCAAAAAAUUUGAGGAGCCUGCUA